rnacentral:tRNA from 1 species
GGGCACGUAGGUUAACGGCAGACCACCUGAGCUACUCACCUGGGAAGUCUGGGUUCGAUUCCCAGCGUGUCCA